AGCACAGGAAAGCAGGGCAGGAGGCUGCUCCUUUCUUCCUUCCCCUCUGCCUUGCAGAUGGGCAUACGUACCAAGAUGGAACCAGAGCAGGACACACGCCUGUCUGCAGCUCUCCAUCUGGUCUCCAUGGCACACAGGACAGAUAAGUCAGCCGCAGACAGUACCCAUUCUAGAGACCCUGGAAGCUCCCCAAGGACCCCUUCCCCUACCCCAAUGUUCAGUGCUGCUUCCCUGAGCCAUGGCCCCACUGCAGGUGCUGGCACCACACCACCUGAUUGCAGUGGCCCUUUCCACACAGCCUUGGGGACACAGGCAGGCCCACAUGGCCAUGGCAAUGGCUGGCAGACCUGCAACGGUGAGCAGGGCUGUGCAGGGGAGGGGCAGCACAGGGAAGCAGGGCAGGAGGCUGCUCCUUUCUUCCUUCCCCUCUGCCUUGCAGAUGGACAGCCCAACACAAAUGGCACCAGGUGACCAUAAGUGCUGCAGCUCAGCCCUCCAAUCUGCUGUUCAUGUUCCACUAAAAAGAUAAGUCAGCUCCAUACUGCAGCCUGUUGUGCUCCUACGGGACCAUGGAAGCUCCCCAAGGUCCCCCUGGUCUUACCCCAAACCUCUUACUCUGCUUUGCUGAGUCCUGACCCCACUGCAGGUGCUGGCACCACACCAACUGAUUGCAGUGGCCGUGUCAACAUGGCGUUACUGAUACAGUAAGCCCCACAUGGCCAAGGAAACCAUUUUCAGACCAGCAACACGGUGAGCAGUGCUGUGCAGGAGAGAGCAGCACAGGGAAGCAGGGCAGGAGGCUGCUCCUCUCGUGCAUCCCCUCUGCCUUGCAGAUGGGCAUCUGCACCAACAUGGAACCAGCACAGGACACACACCUGUCCGCAGCUCUCCAUCUGGUCUCCAUGGCACACAGGACAGAUAAGAGCUGGCAUCAGACCUGCUGAUUGCAGUGGCCCUUUCCACACAGCCCUGGGGACACAGGCAGCCCCACAUGGCCAUGGCAAUGGCAGGCAGACCAGCAACAUGGUGAGCAGGGCUGUGCAGGGGAGAGCAGCACAGGGAAGCAGGGCAGGAGGCUGCUCCUCUUGUGCACCCCCUCUGCCUUGCAGACAGACAUCUGGACACGCACAGAACCAGAGCAGCGCAGCCUCCUCCAACCAGCCCAUGUCUGCACCUGGCCAAGGCACCGACUGAUGCAUGAGGAAGGCACCCGUCCCGCUCUGCACCCCAAUGUGCUCCUACAGGCAGCCUGAGGAUCCGCACCGCAUGGGCAGAGGCAGCUCCCCUAUGGACUGUGUAAAACAGAACUCUGAAGACGAGGACAGAACAAGAAGCUCAAAGGGAUGGACGGGCCCCAUUCAGAGCUACCAGAGACACCACAGCCAGAAGAGAAGGAAGCACCGGAACAGAGCGCUCCUGAGACCCGGGGCAGCAAAACUGCACAGCCCAGUUUGGUGUCAUCUGCAGCCUGCUGAGGAUGCCCUCCAUCCCACUGUCCACAUCCCCUACAAAGCCGUUCAAUAACUGCCCACAGCACUCA